rnacentral:piRNA from 1 species
UUCUUACAAAAUCCCAACGUU